ensembl:lncRNA
CCUACCUGUUCCUCAAAGCUCAACACUCUGCUCACGAACUGCACGUCUAAUUAACAACAAUGUUGAUGUUUUUCAUUAUUCCUAUACGUUGUAAUACAGUCAUACUAUUUAUGAUACUCACCUUUCUACUCUAUUUGUAUAUUCAAAGCAUUUGCAACCAUUUGCUGCUUAUGUACCACUUCCAGAAGCAGUGGAAGGUAAGGGGGAAUGUCAACCCUGCCUCCCAGAUGGACCCAUCAAUACAGAGAGAACAACAAGGAUUAUCAGCAGCACCCUCAGCAUUUGAGUGUCCACGAUCAAGUCUUUUGUUCUGAACAAUCCAGAAAUAGGCCUCAAUUUACCAUUCCCUUCAACUAAAGGAUAUCUGAAAGCAAAAUGCUCCAGCCCUCCAGUCAUUUCUGUGUCUCUCCUUUGGGCCUGCUCUAACAGCUGUGUGUCUCCUGAGGCACAUCACUCAUCACAGAUCUCCUCCUGAACACUGAGCCAUUGACUGCAACUCCCUGUAUGCAGACAUCCAGUCCAUUUCUUUUCCACAAAACAGUCCAUUCAAAACCACGUCUCCAGUGCAGAGACAAGGACAUGAUGUGGGCCAUGCCUAAAGCCUUACAGAAGUUCAGGAAAAUGACAUGAAUUACUGCUCCCCAUUUUGGAGAGAGAACUCUGCAUGCUUCCAACUCCAGCCAUUCUAUGAUUCUAGCCCAAUUUUCCUGCUUCCAAAGACUGCAGAGGAGUUUUAUUCCUCCCUCAUGGCACCCACAAAAGCAUUGGACUGACAGUUUAGGAUAAGCCUAAGCCAAGCUGAAGCCACCAUCCUCUCAGCUCUCAAGGUCCUAUGGCUCCGAGGUCACACCUUAAUAAAUAGCAGUGCUACUUGGAGAGCUUCUGUUGCUGAAAACAGGACCAGUACGAGGGGACAGGUUACACACUUGGAAGCAUGCAGAGUCCUUCAGGAUUUAUUUGUUCACUCCAGAGAGAACGUGAGUCAUGAGAAACCUUAAGGUGGAGCGCUCGAAACAAGGAGUGUAUAAAUGAUUAGCAAGGGAAGGUCAGCACCAGUCCUUCAAGUCUGAGCAUGUCCCACUGUCAAUGGUGCAUAAAUAAUACCAGCUGGAUGCUUGUGGCUGUAGGAGAAUGGCUAUCACACUUCUAGUCCCUUACACGACUCUGGCUCUCGCUCAGAGAUAUCUGACAAGGCCACUGGCAUCUUUUUCUUUUUUCCUAAGACAAACUUAUAUUACAGAAACACUCUGGGUAACACACAAACACCUGAGUACGCUAUCUCUAGAUCCACUGAUACAAUGCGGUACUGCGUGACACAGCACCUAACUACUGCGUGCAGCUGAAAGCGGAGGGGCUGGUACUUUCAUCACUAACACCUGUAGAUUACGAUGGGGAAUCCUGGCCAGUUUUGUACUUUGUUAUCCAGCUGUGACAAAAUCUCUUAUGGAGAUAAUGAGCACCUUUUCCACUGAGCUUUUCUUCAGAUCGUCUCUACAAAGUUGCUAAUCAAGGGUUGAAGUUGGACAGGUGAGCUGCAACACAGGGACUGGCCAAGCCCUGUGUGGUGCAGAGCAACAGAAACUUCUGUGGAGCAUGAAGGUAUAAAACCAUAUCCCUUUAUCUGGUCUUAUGCUAAAACACACAGGUCAUUUCACAGACAUCUGCAUCAGGCGCACAGCAUCAGGUGAAAAAGUAGUAUUUUUCACCUUAUUUCUAUUCAGAAAUUCAAGAGCACAACCCUACCAUAACCCAGCAGUUAGAAGCAAUGCCAAGGAAAGCUAUUUACAUACAACAGACAACAUGGUCACCAGCCUGUCCUUCCUCAUGGAACUUCUCUUGUGCGUUUUGCUUUCACCCAUAUUCGAAGACCCCUUGAGCCCUACAUGCAAGUAGGCACUUGGCUGAAAGAAAAGGAUGUGACAGAGAGAAAAAGAGACCACAGAGAUGCUAACUGAACCCAGCAGCCUGUGGGGAACGAGGUGGACCCCACAUUGGGAUGAAGACCACCAGGGUAGAGCUCAGCAUGGGCAUGUUUGUGGUUCAGUGGCUCCUGUCCCAGCUGAACAGGACAACUGCAGUGACAAAGUGGCAAUGGCAUGAAGCCAGUACAAAACCUGAAUGCUGACCGGUGCCUCCCCUGCCCUGCUUUGCUCCCAGGCAGAGGAUGGCAGGACAGAGAACGCUCCUGCUCUCCAACUCCUGAAGCAGAGGGCAGGAAGGACGUAGUUCCCAUGUGUUCAGGUAAAGGAGCAUAUUUGGGCUGAGUUUCAUACAUGCAUGCUUCCCAGCCUGAGUGCCAUCUCCCUUACCAACAGUACCUUUGCACCACUGCUUUCUGUCUGGGGUAGUUCACAGCUCCUCUGGUGAUCCUCUGGUGCCGGCGCAGUGUGCAUCGCUGCUGGGUCACUGACCUGGAGAAUUAAAAUGUGAUUUUGAAGUUUAACAAAGCUUAACAUUGACCAGAACUGUACAAAGUUCAGUGAGGUCAAUCUGCUUUUUUUUUUUUCUGUCUACAUACAUCUAUAGCUAUGUGCAACUCAACAUAAUGCACUUGUGGAUGUGGUCCAUUCAUCGCUUUAACUUGAGAAUCUGACAACAUUUUACAAAUACUAACUGUGGAGUAUAGGACCCUUACUGUGAGCCAUUCUUACUCCUCAGGAUAGCUGCAGGGCAGACGUACUUUGUUCUGCACAGAAGAAGAAGUGCUCACAUACAUGCAUUUUGCCUGGAACCGUGUGAUUCUUGUGCUUCUCUGUAGGCGCAGUGAGUGCUGAUAUGGGCACACAGGAGUGAAGGAAUGACAUGCAGUCUGUCUCUGUCUUUUCUUCUUCGGGAGGUGUUACAGAGGGCUGCACUUUUCAAAGCGUUUGCCAGUGAAAUUAAGUCUGCAUCCAUCCUAUGCAACAAAAGAAUGAAACAACACAGUAAAAGCUAAAAACUAAUCACAGGUUUGGCAGUCACUUUAGAUCACAGAAAAAAUGUCUUGAUUCACAUACACUUAAAUGAAUAAAUAACCAUAUUAACUACUUAAGCGGAGCUAUCGUUCUUUGUCAGUGUGAUCCUCAGGCUUAUGCAAAGUGUGUGAAUGCUCUCUAUGCAGCGCAGACAAGCAUUUCAGAGGGAAGAUGCAUUACUCAGGUUUCUUUGCAAUGAACUGUACCGAAAAAGGAUGUUAAGCCUGUAAGCUCAGAAUUGCUUUGCCUUCAUCAUGCAAGCGCAUUGCUGAGACAUGGCUGGCUGAGAGCACAAGCUUAUUCUGAGAAAGCCAUAACAAAAAACAUGUAUUUAUUCCUUUUAAAAGAAAUGAGGAAUAACCCUGAAAGCUGACCAAGCUCUUUCCUUCUGUCCCCUUUGUUAUUUUCCAGUAUCUCUGGGCCUGAGUCAAAACCACAGCUGUCCAUCUAGCUUUCCCACUGACUUCUGUGGGGCUGGGAUGGGGCUUGCGUGUUAUCUGGCCUCAGUGCUGUCCAGAGCUUGUCAUCUUAUAUCGCAGGCUCCCAGAAAGACAGAGCAGCAGACCCCAGACAACACGAGAGUGCAGGUAAAGGUGUAACAAAACUCCAUCUGGACAGACUGAGGCUCUGAGAAACAAAGCCACCAAAAGUGCAGCUCUGUGAGGGAAAUACUGUUGCUGCAAGUGGACGUGAGCAUCACCACAGGUAGGAUGAUGAACCCGAAGGCUCAGCUCCCUGCUGGGACAGUGGAAUAAAUGCACUGCAUGAGUUUUCAAUUCAAAGAGCAAUAAACCCUUUUCCAGUCAGCCCCACCAUACACCUAACUACUUACCCUGCAUAUUGAUAAUUAAUCUGCUAUGUUAUCCUCAUAACCUUCCUGUUUUGGCUGUUUUCUCUUCUGUUUUGUAAACUCAGAUCUGCUAAAUAACGCAAUCAGACUUCUCCUCUCCAGUUGCUGUCAUUUUGUCCUGCAACGCUCAAUGCCACUUAAUAAAGUGACAAGAAAUAACGCACUGACUGCGAUGUAUAUUGCUUGCAUUCGUCUUCAUCGCAACAAUGAGUCAUUAUUCAGAGUAUGUUUAUGUAAUAUCAUAAAUACCAAUCUCUGGUAUUUAUGCAGCAUAGUAUUUACUUGGGCAAGUUGCCACAUGCACUAAAGAAGUAAACAAAGAGCCAUUCUUUGGAGGGUUAAAAAAGUCUUAAAAUGAAUCCAAUUUUCCUUCAUAAGGCACUCCUUGUUAUUUUACCUAAAGUGGCUCUUUAAGAUAUACAGUAUGAUAAAACACACAAUUCCUGGGAGACGUAAUUAUGGUUCCUAAGAGACUGGUGAAUAAACAAUCAGGAAAAGAGUGUUUGUUUUCCCUAGGUUUUUCUUAACUAUUAAUGGAAGGCAUUAAAAAAAUGGGGAGGAAUGUGUCGGGUCGAUAAACGGUAAGAAAAGCUGAGGAGCACACUUCACUGAACACACAGGGUUUCUGCCUUAAAAGCAGUACCAUUUUAUUGGAUUGCAAAUAAUCCUAUUUUGCAAAUGUGUUUGCGGUGGGUGUAAAUACCACAGUGCGCUCUUUGUUAUAUUUACUGUACUGCGCACAUCAAUGGCACAGCGCGUGUUCCAAAGUAAAGAGCUCGCCUCGUCUCACGUUACCUUUAAGCAUUAACACAAACAACUUCCUUCGAAUCAAGGUGACAGAACCUUCUGCAUCGUACGAAAUGUUCUAUCUGACACAAAUUCCUCAGGGCGGCGGGGGCCCCGUCUGGCACGGUGCUGAGCCAUGGCAACGACUUCUCUAGCAAAUCAGGGACUGCAGUCAGCCCAACACGGACACGGACACUGGAAACAUGGAAGAUGGCUGAAGCAGAAUCAGCAGGUCAAGAAAACCUUCUUGCAACCGACAUAUAUCAGAACACAGUCAAACAGGACGUUGUUGAGUAACACUGGUCUGCAUGAAGUCACUCGGAGAUCUGUCACUUAAAAACACACGCUCCCAAUGGCACUGCUCACUUCUCUACAUCAGUUCCCUCUCCUGUAAAUCAGACUGAUGGAACCAAGUCAUUCUGUUAGUGAGCGAGUGAUGGGCUACAGAGUGCCCUCACUGAAGCACAGCUUCACACAGCAGGGCCUGGGCAUGCCCAGCUCCUGUCACUGCAGCCUUCUAACCUCGUGUUAGAAAUACCUCAUUCCUUUAGCAGAGACAAAUGGAGACCUCACCUUCCUCCUGUGGCAAAUAGGUGUCAGAGCAAUAGAUCACACUGAUGUAGUUAAUGCUCAUUUACGAUCCAUUUAUUUCCUUAAAAAAAGAAAAAGAAAAAAAAAAAAAAAAAGGACUUGCAAAAGUCACCAAAGAGCCUAUUUUCCUCAAGAAGAUCUGAAGUAAAUGAUGACGCCAUCGGCAGGCUGAAGAGCACACAUGGGCUAUGGGUUAGUGCCUACAUGAUGGGAGAUACUUUGUCUCUUUUUUAUCUAUCCUGCACAUAUAGAUUUGUAAAAAUGGUGACAGAAAAAACAUAUGCACAGGAUGAAUCUGGUCAAGCUAGUACUUGUUCCUGUCUUCAGGAUUUAUUAGAGAAGUGAAUAAACAUACUUGUUGUGGUAAUUAACCCCACGUAAAUCACAAAUCCUGUCUUUAUAUGGUUUUGUUUGUGCUGCUGUCAUUAAGAGCUAUUCAGUGUUCCCAAAGUGGAGGCAGGCCUGAGGUGAAACCUCAGCAAGCAAAGGGAGAAGAUGCACAAAAUGGGGGACAAAGCAGGGAGACCCCUCAUCACUGGGCUGCUUCCUUGAGGCUCCAGCAAUAAAACCCACCAAGCCUGAGCACCUCCGGGCAGUCUCAGUUUGGUAACUACAUCUUUGUCAUCUAAGAAAAAUAGAUUGACCACCAGGCUCUCGACCCCCAGGCCCUGAUUGUCUGAGGCCCAUUUCCCUCACCCACACAGAGCUCAGGAUCUGUCCAGCCCAGUGUGUGGCACAUGUGGGUACUGCAGUACAAACUGUUUGUGCCAGGCUGGGCUGUUAGCUGCUCCUCAGCCUCUCGAUGGCCCCUUCAACAGUCUGCAGAAAUCCUGUCAUUGAUUUCCAUGGGCAUGGGAUCAGGGUUAGACCUCUCAGACCAGAUACCCGCAUGGAUGCACGGUGGCAGUGCUAACUUCCGCCCUCAGGAACAGCCCCUUAUCUCCUCCUUUGCUGCUGGGCCCAUCCUGCCCUGCUCCUUCCAGCAAACACCACUGGUAAAGGAAGCCUCUCUCCAUAAGGAAAUGCCUUCCCUCCUGUAACAAAGCCCUCAAAUUAAUUAGCCGCGGUGUGAUGCCUUCGAAGAAGGUCUGAAGUGACACUGUAAUGCUGUCUGAGUGGAUACUUCAGUCUGGCAAGUCCAUAGACCUCUUGCUGACAUUUGCCAUACAGAGCAUGCAAAUGACCGAGGUUAAGCAAUAGCAAUGAGGAACAAAACAGUUUCUACGCACAAAGUUUUGAUCACUUCGGUAAGGAGUGGUCGAUCAAAGAUGCCUUUCAGUUCAAGACACUUCUUACUGGAGGAAGAUUAUCCAGUGAAUAAUCUGGAGCCGCCCAGCUAGGAGCCUGCUGGAGGAUGAAAAUAUAAUGAGCUCUUCAUAGGUCAGUACUGCUUGUGAGACAGCAAUGCUUUUCCACUCGUGCUAUGAACCCAUCCUGUCUUCAGGCUACACUGGUGAAAAAAUGAUCACCCAACAAAGACAGCACAACACAGCAAAAUUGAAAACACAUUUAGCAAUUUGCAUACCUUGCAUGCCAUAGAACACCCCCAAAUCCUGGUGGAAAUGUGCAUAAUGUGCCAGACAUCUUGAACCCAGGAACUCCCCUCCCCAUAAUCCCCCGGGACCGAAAAGUUUCUGAUUGUACUCCAGCUUCCCCAUAAAAGCUUCAUUGUUACAGCAGCCCAGCCUUUACCAGGAGUCAUGGCAUCGGGCCACAGCCUCCAGGGACACUCUCAAGCUGCACAAAACAAGUUUUUCCAAACAGUUUAAGUAUUUCCCAGCCCAGACUCUCACAUUCUAGUUGUUUGUGCAGGGACAGUAACCCACCAAGCCCUGCCUAAAAUACUGGUUGUUUAAACUCCACAGAGACAUUUUUACUAACAUUCCUUACUGCCGUAACCUCUUGACCACUUUAAACUACUAUUAACGGGCAGACUCCAUAGGCCUAAUGUCAAGGAGUCAUCCCCGCUGAAAAAAAAAAGCAGCAAUUGGACAAUAGAUGCAUGAUUGCUGCUUCCUUAGCACUGCUGCUGCAGCUGGAAAUGUUGUUGUUCAACUGGACUUUGCAGCACAGACACAUACAGCGUCAGCGAGGCAGAGCUCGGUUGCAAUAAGGGUCUGUGAUGAAAGUGGGGACACUGACUGGGUGAAAGCUGGUGGGCGCAGGGAGGUGAUGUGGUUAAGGGGAGCUGUGCCUGCUGGAGCCCUGUGUGUUCCUGCAGGGCUGAGGCUUCGCCCUGGUCAGACCCUUGACAUCCCGUAUCUUCCCCUGUGUUCCUGCUCUAAUCAAGCUUAUCAGGGCACUCGUUUGCUAAAUUAGUACUAAUUAAUGAAAUGCUAAUUAAAAAAAGGUCUGACUGUAAUUCACGGCUUCUGUUUGUCACGGACUCCCAGUACUUUGGAGGCACCAAUGUGUGCCCAGCACGCAGCCAAAGCCAGGCAUAGGUCAGAGCUCCGCUCUAGCCGUGCUGUCCUCAUGGGAGUAAAGCACCACUCUGAGUCACCGCUCAGCCAUGCAGUGUUUGGUGGGUUUUAAUACAGAGCCCUUCAGAAGGUGGCUUUUAGGUGGCUCGCUCUGCAAAGACAACAAAACAAACAGAACUGGAUCUGAAGAGGAAUUUUUGGAGUGCUCAGCACCAGGCCCUGUGUCUGCCAGGAGCCCAGCAGCCCUCAGUGAGCUGCUGCAGGCUAGUGAGUGCCAAGGGACAAAGCCUUUGUACAGGUGUCUGAACACACUGUAUGUCUGAGGAAAUAAAAGGCUUUAAAUGUGUUCAUGAAUUCAGCUAGCGGCGUGGCCAAGGGUCCCCAGUCCAUCAGCACAUUAUCUCUUUGGGCUCUGGGCAGGGGUGAAAGCUGCAUGGACAGACAGCUGCCCUCAUGUCCUCUCCAACGGGGCAGCUUCUGCCAGCAAGCAUGUAGCACAGCGUCACCCAAUACCUUGGUAAGGCCUUUGGCUCAGUUUGGUCUAAUUUGCUAACACAUGCACCAUAAUUACAGGGCUUGUGUUUAGGCAUAUCUCAAGAGUUCCUUGUACAUGUAAUAAGAGAAGCUCAUUCAUCUGGAUCCCAUGAGGGAAGAUGCGCCCUACAUCAUCCAGGGCCAGAGCCCUUCACACAGGUGCCAUUGAAAGCCAUUGGGAAUCAGCUGCAGAUCAAACAUGAUGUUUUGCAAAGUUCUGCUUUUGUUCCUUACAUUUGCUUUCUGGCAGCCUUUAUGGUGCCUGCUGGCAAGGCAGGAGCAGGAACAUAGGCAGGCUCCUCACAGUGCCCUGUGUCGCUCCGGCUUCCCAGUGCAGUCCCUCUUCCCUGCUUGCCCCAGCUGGGGACACCUCGGUGAGUCUGAAGGUACCAAACUGGAGGGUGCUCCUGAACAACAGUCACUGCUCUGCCGGUGGGUGCACAACAGAAAGAAGAUUUGACUGUUUACACAUGGCUCCUUGCCAGCAUAACUACAUUGCUUAGAGCUGCACUGCCUUUCUUUACCUUUAAUAGCUAUGGACCAGCAUAGCUUUCUCUGCAAAAAUCUAAAUGGAGACCAAGUCCAAGUGUGGAAGUUGAUUCUUUGCCUUCUGUAUGCCCAAUGGCAACAUACUGUGUUGUUUAAUGAGCUCCGUCUUGCAUCUUGCAGGGCAUAGGUUGAGCCUCAGAAGUGCUUCUUGGUGUUGUAUCAACCCUUGGCCAGGUAAUGCAACUGGGCAGCUUCUCCUGGCUCUGCCCUCAGCCUGGGGUGAAGCUUUUCUCUCUCUCCAUGGCAGUUCUGCACUGAAGCUGUCCUUGCUCCAGCCUCACCAACACUCACUGCUUUUAAACACUGAUCAUCAGAGCUGUUUUUCAUGCUUUGAGAUGACAACUAAUCAACACAGAUGACGCAACUAGCUGAUAGAAAAAGAUGUUCAUGGCAUUUAUUUGCCCUAGAAAUAUGUCUCACAUUAAUGAAAUAUUCUAAGAGAAAGCCUCUGAGUUUGCACCCUAGACAGGGCUGCACCUGAUGGAGCAGGACAGUGGGGCGGUGUCAUGCAACUACAGCUUAGCAGGCUCUAGGAGUAAGCUAGAGCCUGUGCAAGGCUGUGGGGGCUCAGCACCAGGGGGCUGGGUUUGGAACAAGUGCUGCAAUGGUUCCUUUUGGUAAUACGGUGAAUUCCUGCCUUAAAGUGGAGCUGUGGUAUAGGGGCACAAAGUGAUGGUACAAACUGCAGUGGUUAGUACUUGUUCAAGUUGAAGGGCUGCAGCAUUACCAGGAAGGUCGGUGCCUCUUUCUGGAUGCUUUUGUAGAGUUUCUGACAAUGGCUUAAGACACGGAAUGCAUAAAAUUCUCAAGAGAAAUUUUUAGUUCCCAGAGAACUGAAACAGUUUGAGCUCUUGCACUGAAUUGUUGGCUCUGUCUGCAAACGAAACCAUGCAGCUGCCCAGACCACCAUGUUGCCAUCGGAGGAUGGACAUGGCUGUGAGCGCAGGCCCUGCCAAGGUCCAUCUCCAUGCUCCCACUGACAGAUCCCAGCUACAGCUCUGCACUGGGGGAGCCCUUCCACUGAAGUGAUACAACAGCAGUUGCUAAAGCUACAUUUGGCCUUAUAUCUGACUUUCUUUUUUUCUGCAACCUCUGGCAGGUCUUCAGUGCAUUCAGUUCUUUAUAUUAAAGCAAUCAAUCCCACAUGCAACCAAUUAGGUUUAGACAUAUUUUGGUGACCAUAAUAUUGUACAGACAUUCUAUCAACUUUUCAACAACAGAGGGUGGCUCCUACAUGUCACUUUCUAGUGGGGAGCACGCUGACUGCAGUUCAGAAAUAUCCCAAAGAGAAAAACAUAUUCUAGAAUUAUACUGAGCCCAAAUGUGCCACUUGUAGACAACAUUCUGGCUCUGUGUACAUACAACAGGGACCCAAACACUGUCCCUCCUCAGUGCAGCGCACAGGGCAAGAAUCUCACUAGACCUGAAUGACCAGGUUUGUCAUCCAAUAACCUCAUCGCCUGCCACUGUCAUUGCUUGUGACACAUACCAAAUAUGUUUUGAUUCUCAGAAGCAAAGAGGCAGCAGCAUUCACAAAGCCUUUUAGCUCCAUUUCCUUAGUCUGUGCCCCUAAAGAGGGAUGGGAGCGCAGACAGCACGGGUGGGCAUUUGCCUUCAUCGCCUCUGCACUGAAUGCAGUUUGGUCCUCAUGGCUACUCAGUCCCUGGCUGCUGUGCUGACAUAUCACGCUCUGGCCAUUAUUUAUCAUAUUAUCUGAAACUCCUCCUUAGGAAAUCUUCAGCUGGAGACACAUCUUCCUGCUAUUCAUGGUGGGAAAGGCCUACUGAUCUGCAUUACUGACCUAUACAAGGAUUCUGGAUGUGUACUGACAGUUUACCCUGUCAGACAUAAGGCUCUAAAGGAAUAACUGUAAAGAAUUACUUGGCACAGGUUCCAUAAGGCAGGCUGGACCAAGCCUGAAGUUACCAAUUAAUGCACCAAAGCCAGAAAGAAAUCACAAAGAAAAGCAGCGCAGAAUGAAAAUGCAGGACAUAGCUUCUGCCUGGGCGUGGAUGAAAACUGAAACAGAAUUCUCUUCAGAUAACCCAGGAACAACAAAAAUGUUCCAAAAUUCAGCACAGGCAUUGAAAGCACAUCACCAGUGUCUCCUUUGAGCUCUGGGAUGCAGGCUAUUGACACUGGUAUUUGUCUUCACCAUGGACUUUGCCCCACUAGUGACUGAGAAGGGGCUCAGGUCCUCAUGUGGGUCAUUUCUGUUCAGUGGAAGGAGCCAGUGCUGAUGCCACUGAGCAGCUUGUUUGUUUGCUCCGCUGCCAGGGAGAAGACUUCUGGUGCCGGGGUUUGGUGGCAGCAAGAGCAGCUUCACAUCAACUGUCCCAUGGCUUCAGAGCUCUCCUCAGAAACUGAGUUCUUCUCUCUUCUCUCACACCAGUGGGGACUUUCUGGGCCUCACCACAGCACAAAAACACAACGAGAAGCCCACAUGUGGCCUACUGUAGAUCACGGUCCUGGAGCUAGAGUAUUUGUAGAGCUUUUGCAUUACAGCUGUUGCAGUGCGAGAUGUCUGGAUAGCACAGCAAUAGGAAGGCUAAUGGGCUUCAGAUGGGAAAUCAAUGGAGCAUCUUUCCUUCAAAAAUGUAUUUCUGUCAGAAUCACAACGCUUUGAGGAAUCAUUACCCUUACCCAGAGCAUUUGGAGGAAGAUAUGCCAACAAUUUUUUGGAAUAAAGCAUGUAGAUUUUUGAUUUUACAUAAUAUAUGCAUUUUUAAAAGUUGUAAUAAUCCAAAUAAGCCAAGACUAUUUAUUUUUGUGGAAUUUUCCUUUGUGGAGAAUUUCAACAUUUUGAGGUUUUGUUCUGAAUUGGAAUGAAAACAAAUUUCAAAAUCUCAAAGUUGUCUGUGAAACACAAUUUCCAUUCUCUGGCCAGCUCAAGUUUCAGGCUAGAACAUGUAUAAUAGCUCCCCUGCAGGGAAUCCCUUUAGGAAAAAACGUCUCUGAAUGAAUUCAGUGGUGCAAACGUACCGUUUUCAGGAUCUGCCCAUCUUUGCAAGGAGGUGGCGGUGCCACUGAGAACUUCCCCAAGUAAGUCACUACACAAGAAGCCUGCACACAUUCCUGAAAAACCUAUUUCUGAAAGGCACUGCUAACUCUGCAGAAUUGAUGGGGGCUGUUUCCUGGUAGUGCUGUUAGUCAUUCAGUCACAGUUGUCACGCAGAUCACAGAAUGGACCUCAUGACUAUGUUUUUGCCUUACCUUUGCUGGGCUGUCUUGAACAGCUUUAUAUUACACUUUCAAGGUAGAUGCCGUGCAUUCAGAUUAAAAUAUUCAAUAGAACAGGCUUUAUGUCUUAGGAUAUCUGAAUGGAUGUAAGUAUUUAUAGCCCUAGCAAACACUCCUGCCCCAAAAUAAAAUAAAAACUCACACAUUACAAACAUUCAGGCUUGCACCUGCACGUGGAAAGAUCAAAAAACCGCAUUAGGAGAAAUGAAUUAUUAGAGACUUUGAUGGAGAUCCACUCCACAUGCUAUUGUCAGGAGAGUUACUUUGGAUUUAACAAAAUAAAUGAGAUUUAUAUUCAUAAAUGACAUAAAUGAGAUUUUAGGCCAGUCUGUUCACAGCAGCUUUAUCUGUCACGAAAGUAUGAAGAAGUUUAAUACUUAUAUGAAUUAACGCAGUAAAGUUAAUCAUGCACUCUAUUAAAAACUAAUCCUGCAUGCCAUGUUUGUGUUUGCUGCCUUACUCUAGCCAUGUUUUUCUGCAAGGGAGUUCGUGCUUGCUGUUCU